ensembl:piRNA 21ur-4576 ncRNA
ACUGUCAUUAUAAAUUAAGUA